UCCUGACUGACCGAUAGUGAACCAGUACCGUGAGGGAAAGGCGAAAAGAACCCCGGCGAGGGGAGUGAAAAAGAACCUGAAACCGUGUACGUACAAGCAGUGGGAGCACGCUUAGGCGUGUGACUGCGUACCUUUUGUAUAAUGGGUCAGCGACUUAUAUUCUGUAGCAAGGUUAACCGAAUAGGGGAGCCGAAGGGAAACCGAGUCUUAACUGGGCGUUAAGUUGCAGGGUAUAGACCCGAAACCCGGUGAUCUAGCCAUGGGCAGGUUGAAGGUUGGGUAACACUAACUGGAGGACCGAACCGACUAAUGUUGAAAAAUUAGCGGAUGACUUGUGGCUGGGGGUGAAAGGCCAAUCAAACCGGGAG
rnacentral:rRNA from 1 species